UUACGGCCAUCCCACGUUGAAACACCGCUUUUCGUGCGAUCACCGAACUUAAGCAACAUCAAGCUUGGUCAUUACCUAGAUGGGAGACAGCUUAGGAAUACCAGGUGCUGUAAG